rnacentral:rRNA from 1 species
CGCAAUGGGCGCAAGCCUGACGGAGCAAUACCGCGUGAGGGAUGACGGCCCUUGGGUUGUAAACCUCUUUUAUCAAGGAGGAAGUUUUGACGUGUACUUGAUGAAUAAGCAUCGGCUAACUCCGUGCCAGCAGCCGCGGUAAGACGGAGGAUGCAAGUGUUAUCCGGAAUCACUGGGCGUAAAGCGUCUGUAGGUGGUUUGAAAAGUCCACUGUUAAAAAUUGAGGCUUAACUUCAAAGAUGCCGUGGAAACUUUCAAACUAGAGUAUGGUAGGGGUAGAGGGAAUUUCCAGUGGAGCGGUUAAAUGCGUAGAUAUUGGAAAGACCACGGAUGGGGAAGGCCCUUUACUGGGCCCAGUUCGUGCCUUUUUUGUAGAGGACU